rnacentral:lncRNA from 1 species
GAUUUAUCGAUCGGAAUUCAGAGAACUCUCGCAUGUUAUCAAAACUGGGGAAUUCCCUCCGAUGUGUUUCUAAAUUUAUAAUAAACAGCUGCGCCACGAGCGCAUGAUACGCCCGAUGUCUUGUGUGGAAGUUUUAAGCAAAAAUCAUAAAUAGUUUCUGAGAAAGUUUUAAGCAAUAACCUUAUAUUGUUUUUGAGACACGGCGGGACAUGUGAAACCCCCCACCCUGUGUUUUUUUUUACAAAAACCUAAAUUUCACAAAAAUAAAAUUUUGAAUCAAAA